UCAAAGAUUAAGCCAUGCAUGUCUUAGUACAAACUUCCUUUAUAAAAGUGAAACCGCGAAUGGCUCAUUAAAUCAGCUAUUAUUCCCAAGAUCUAUAGCCCCAUAUUUUUACUUGGAUAACUGUGGAAAACCUAGAGCUAAUACAUGCAGUUAUAGUCCUUGACCUGACGGGAAGGGCGCUUUUAUUAGAAAUCACAAAACUGUUGAGUGACAGACAAUAAUAUUGAUUGUUGUUCUGUAAAAACUAUACAAGUGAUGAAUCCGGGUAAUUGGCUGAGCACUUAGUCUUUGCACUGGUGCUAGAUCUUUCCAAGUGUCUGCCUUAUCAGCUGUCGAUUGUAAGAUAUCUGCCUACAAUGGCUAUAACGGGUGACGGGGAAUCAGGGUUCGAUUCCGGAGAGGGAGCCUGAGAAACGGCUACCACAUCCAAGGAAGGCAGCAGGCACGCAAAUUACCCACUCCCGGCACGGGGAGGUAGUGACGAAAAAUAACGAUGCAAGACUCAUCCGAGGCCUUGCAAUCGGAAUGAGUACACUUUAAAUCCUUUAACAAGGAUCGAUUGGAGGGCAAGUCUGGUGCCAGCAGCCGCGGUAAUUCCAGCUCCAAUGGCGUAUAUUAAAGUUGUUGCGGUUAAAAAGCUCGUAGUUGGAUUACAGUUGUGGACUGAUGGUUUUUCCCCUUCCCAUAGGGUGUUCUACUGUCACGCUCCAAAAUGCUCAUACAAUGUAAAAGUUGUUGGGCUCCACUAGCACGCACGGGAUGCUCUUGACCGAGUGUCCCGAGUGGCUGGUAUGUUUACUUUGAAAAAAUUAGAGUGCUCAGAGCAGGCUAAUAUUAUUGCCUGAAUGUCUAUGCAUGGAAUAAUGGAAUAGGACCUCGGUUCUAUUUUGUCAACUGGUUUUCUUCGGAACCCGAGGUAAUGACUAAGAGAAUUUAACGGGGGCAUUUGUACUGCGGCGCUAGAGGUGAAAUUCUUGGACCGUCGCAAGACAAACAACAGCGAAAGCAUUUGCCAAGGAUGUUUUCAUUAAUCAAGAACGAAAGUUAGAGGUUCGAAGGCGAUCAGAUACCGCCCUAGUUCUAACCAUAAACGAUGCUAACCAGCAAUCCGCCGGUGUUAUACCCAUGACCCGGCGGGCAACUUCCGGGAAACCAAAGUCUUUGAGUUCCGGGGGUAGUAUGGUUGCAAAGCUGAAACUUAAAGGAAUUGACGGAAGGGCACCACCAGGAGUGGAGCCUGCGGCUUAAUUUGACUCAACACGGGAAACCUCACCAGGCCCAGACACUGGAAGGAUUGACAGAUUGAGAGCUCUUUCUCGAUUCAGUGGGUGGUGGUGCAUGGCCGUUCUUAGUUGGU
rnacentral:rRNA from 1 species